UUAGGCUUUAUUAGGAUUAUU
rnacentral:piRNA from 1 species